rnacentral:rRNA from 1 species
AAAUGACUGUACCCGAAUAAGAAGGUCCGGCUAACUUCGUGCCAGCAGCCGCGGUAAUACGAAGGGACCUAGCGUAGUUCGGAAUUACUGGGCUUAAAGAGUUCGUAGGUGGUUGAAAUAGUUGGUGGUGAAAUCCCAGAGCUUAACUCUGGAACUGCCAUCAAAACUUUUCAGCUAGAGUAUGAUAGAGGAAAGCAGAAUUUCUAGUGUAGAGGUGAAAUUCGUAGAUAUUAGAAAGAAUACCAAUUGCGAAGGCAGCUUUCUGGAUCAUUACUGACACUGAGGAACGAAAGCAUGGGUAGCGAAGAGGAUUAGAUACCCUCGUAGUCCAUGCCGUAAACGAUGUGUGUUAGACGUUGGAAAUUUAUUUUCAGUGUCGCAGGGAAACCGAUAAACACACCGCCUGGGGAGUACGACCGCAAGGUUAAAACUCAAAUGAAUUGACGGGGACCCGCACAAGUAGUGGAGCAUGUGGUUUAAUUCGAAGAUACGCGCAGAACCUUACCAGCACUUGACAUGUUCGUCGCGACUCUAAGAGAUUAGAGUUUUCGGUUCGGCCGGACGAAACACAGGUGCUGCAUGGCUGUCGUCAGCUCGUGUCGUGAGAUGUUGGGUUAAGUCCCGCAACGAGCGCAACCCUCACUUUUAGUUGCCAUCAUUAAGUUGGGCACUCUGAAAGAACUGCCAGUGAUAAGCUGGAGGAAGGUGGGGAUGACGUCAAGUCCUCAUGGCCCUUACGUGUUGGGCUACACACGUGCUACAAUGGUAUCUACAACAGGAAGCAAGACUGCGAAGUUAAGCAAAUCCCUAAAAGAUACCUCAGUUCGGAUUGCACUCUGCAACUCGAGUGCAUGAAGCUGGAAUUACUAGUAAUCGUGGAUCAGCGUGCCACGGUGAAUGCGUUCCCGGGUCUUGUACACACCGCCCGUCACACCAUGGGAGUUGGUUCUACCUUAAGGCAAGGUUUAAAACCCUUGACCACGGUAUAGUCAGCGACUGGGGUG